rnacentral:rRNA from 1 species
AUUAGAUGAGCCUAUAUUAGAUUAGCUAGUUGGUGGAGUAAUAGCCUACCAAGGCAAUGAUCUAUAGCUGAUCUGAGAGGAUGAUCAGCCACACUGGAACUGAGAUACGGUCCAGACUCCUACGGGAGGCAGCAGUGGGGAAUAUUGGACAAUGGGCGAAAGCCUGAUCCAGCCAUGCCGCAUGAGUGAAGAAGGCCUUUGGGUUGUAAAGCUCUUUUAGUGAGGAAGAUAAUGACGGUACUCACAGAAGAAGUCCUGGCUAACUCCGUGCCAGCAGCCGCGGUAAUACGGAGAGGGCUAGCGUUAUUCGGAAUUAUUGGGCGUAAAGGGCGCGUAGGCUGAUUAAUAAGUUAAAAGUGAAAUCCCGAGGCUUAACCUUGGAAUUGCUUUUAAAACUAUUAAUCUAGAGAUUGAAAGAGGAUAGAGGAAUUCCUGAUGUAGAGGUAAAAUUCGUAAAUAUUAGGAGGAACACCAGUGGCGAAGGCGUCUAUCUGGUUCAAAUCUGACGCUGAAGCGCGAAGGCGUGGGGAGCAAACAGGAUUAGAUACCCCUGGUAGUCCACGCUGUAAACGAUGAAUGUUAAAUAUGGGAAG